CUCUGAAGGGAAGGUGAGCCGGGCUUGCUGCAGAGCCGUGGGGGUGCAUUUUCUACACCUCUGCUCCCCAUCUCUGUGUCCUUGAGGAGCACAAAGCUCAGCCCAGGGCAGCCCCGCAGACGUUUCCUAGUCUGUGUUCUCACUCCCAGAGAAGGAACUAGAAUCUUCUGAAUUCUACAUGCCGGUGUGUCUUCCCUGCCAGCAUCUCCAAGAGACACUUGAGUAGAGUUCCAGAACAAUCCAGGCGGAGGGAGGAAAGCACCUGACCUAACUUCGGCUAGGAAAAUGGCACCACUGAACAUCUCAAGGGAGUAGAGGCCAGCCAGAAAGGAGAAGGGUGACCAAGCAUACCUGCCAAACAGUCCUACGAGGCCCUGGAGCCACCACGCUCCAUAAAAGGAGUUCUCUGAAACCUGGAGCUGAUCGCCUAACUCCUCUGAGGCCACUUCCUCAUCUGCCGAUGGAGUCAGCCAACGUGCGAUCAUCUACUAGGCAGCCAGCAGCCACAGCACCUGCCCCAAACCACAGGAGUCCCCGCCAGCCCACGCCUGACACCCAGCAGAAGGUUCCGCCACCUCUGCUCCCACAUAUCUGCCACUGUCACCCUGAAAGAGUCUGU